GCAGAUUAUGCUUAGAAAUGUUCUGCAACAUUCAUAGUAUUUGUAGAUCUUGUUGAAACGUAAAACUCAUACUUUGCUUAAAAGCUUACACAAUUAAUGUUUGCCUGUCAUGAAGCUAAGUAUUCAGAGCUUCUCAUUCUUGAUGGUUUGAUGAUUCAGCACUUCUUACUGCAGAUUAACAGUUACUUUAUUUAAAAUAUGACUCCUAAGUGAAGGUAUUCUCAAACUCGACUAUAGCUAAAACCUGAAAUUUAUUAUUAGUACAGGGUAUACACUUGAAUCUGUUAGUUCUAUUGGAUUUUUAAAACUUGUUUAACUGUUAUCAGAGCUUAUUUGAAACUAGGUAAUUUUUAACAUUUAUGUUUCCCAUAUUUAAGCAAAUUGCUGCGGUGAUGGUCAUGUAGUUGAAUGAUUUCCUGUUACAGCUGAAAUCUAAGGCAAAACUGUUGCAGAUAAAAACAUUUGGAAGACAAGUAGCAAGUAGUGCAUAGAGCAUAGUUUAUUAUAUACAAAUGAAAGAAUGGACUUAUCUUCACACAAACAAAGCUCGCGAAGUACGUAUGUACCUACGUGCUGUGGACUAACUGGAUAUGACCUUAUGGGUAUUUUCUAGAACUCGUCCCCGAUCACCUAUGAUCAGGUAGCCAGCCCUACCCGGAAAAACGGCUGGAAUGGUUACACCCAGAAAACCCGGAGCCAUUUUAUAAAAUGGCAGCUGAAAGGGCGCCACGUAGAUCAUGUAACGUACAACGUUCUACCCAUUUUCCACGCCACGUCGUUUGCAAUUGUGUCUCGUCCAAUCCGUUGAGGCCAGCCAUUUGGGAAGUGAAGUUCUUCGUCUACAAAAAACACUGUUGAUCAUGCAUUCUUGAGAGCACUUGGAAGGAUUUCUAAUUCUCAAUGGCUGCCAGCAAUUUGUUAGGCUAAUAAGUAUCAGCAUUUAUGGUUCAAUGGACAUUUACAGGGAAAGCUUUAUUGUAGAAGAAUUUAAACCAUUCAGUCAAAGGAAAUCCCCUGUUAAUAAAGCCAUGGAGUUUCAUGAUUACAUAGGUGAAAAACAAAUAUGCUGGUUUUAUUUAUGUAUAUUAGAAGCUGAAACUAAAUGCAACUUACCGUAGGUGUAACAAACCAUGCUUGUUGCAUGUUUGUUUGUAUGAUUUGCCAUAAUUAACCUUCUCUGGUGGUUUAAUGUUUGGUUUUCCCAACUAAUGUGGUGUUGGAACCAGGGAGUUUUGUUUCAGUCAUUAUGGUUUAGAUUGAGAAUGUUUACUGUUUCUAAAUAAAUCUACCGUUAAAAUCA
rnacentral:lncRNA from 1 species